AUAAAAUGUCAGCCAUAAGGUGCGCAAUAAAUCUGUUGUGUGCAAUAAUGGGUCAUUCAUAAUACUUUCCGAUGCGUAUACUUAGUUAGUCUUCGUUUUUUACGAAGAUUCUAAAUUAGACAUUAAAGGCGGAAAAUAUAAGACAUUUUGUAUAUGUAGCAACAAGAAAAGUUUUUCUCAAUUUUAAAAGAAAAUUUGCUGAUGAUAGCCAGGACUUGACAAUAGAUUGUAUUAUCUGUGGUAAAUUGAAACGAAAGACGGUGGAAUAGUGAAGUAAUCAACAAAGGAAUAUAACUCCAGCAUGAACCACAACUUGUCACUCGCAGCUAUAAACUGAAAGAAGGAAACAAAAAAGAAAUUAUUUCAUUCAAAUUUUUUGUCAAAGGUACUAAAUGCACUGCAGCCUGUUACAGGCCAAGGCCGUCCUAAGAAGUAUUUGCCAUCUAGUCCUAUCCGCAGCAAGGUUCUUCCAGUUUUCCUUAUUUACUAUAAGAAAGUUCUUCUCGCCGGAGUCCAGCCACCUUAUUGGUGGUCUUCUUCGUUUUCUGUUUUGAAUGGGAUUAUUAGAAGAAAAAACUUUGAGAUUAAUGGAUUCGGAGAAAUAAAAAAGCUGCAUAAGAGUAUAUGGGCUGACUUUGUGCAUGGUUUAUCAAUCUAGCUAUUUAAACAUUUAGAUGAUUAUGCUUCAAAUUAUAGAAAGUAAGAUGGUUAAGAAAACUCUUAUUAAAAUUCCUAGCUAUUUAUGCCCAGGUUAAAUUGUUCAAAAAAAAAAUUUUUUUAUCAGGAAUUUAACUAAAAACAAAAAUAAAAGUAAA